rnacentral:lncRNA from 1 species
AGGGCACUUAAAUUUAAAUGUAUUGUCCAACAAACAAAAUACAGCAUAAUGCAAUUUCACGGACGUACAUACAGACAGACACAUACAUCCUCAUAUUUGUGAGCAUAGGUGAGCCAGAAAGAUACUAGGACUUGGAACAAGUGAUAUAACUAACAGGGCACUUGAAUGUACCUUUCAGAUGAAAAUCAAAACUACUACUGUUAACCUCCCUCAGUACAACCGACCAGUGCAUUCUGAAGAACCACAAAAGCAACUCUUUUUCUUAAUGUUGCCAGAUGAAUCAUAAACUUGAUCUAUCACGUAAUUGUAAUGAUAAGUCAGCUCUUGCAGGGGAGGAAUGUUCUCAGCAGCAAAGAGCAUUAUGUGAGGCGUUCUCUUGUCCUCAUGAUCAUAAAGGACGUUUUGGGCAUAAAGAUUAGGCGAACAACUGUGGUUAACAAAUCUCCCCACAUUGCCAUACUCCACUGCAUCAAUGGUAAAUCCACCAUCCUCCACAACUCCACAAGAACUCAAUGGUGCAUCAGGCAUAACAUUCGAAAGUCCACCCCAAAGAGAACCAUCAUUAUAAUUAUUCCCAAUAUCAAAUAGAUACUCAUCAUUACUGGUUCUUCUUUCCGCUUCCUUCUCUUCAAGGAGCUCCCCCGCGUACUCACAGAUAAAACUUCCCGAAGGAAUGGAAUUUAGGGAUCUCACACCCCAUCCCCGUGCUUCAGUUUUGAAGAUCUCCAUCUGAAAUUUGAUACCCUGCUGGCUGACUCUAUUAUAGCAAGAAGCUUCAUUACUCUUUUUCAUUGUUUCACUGGCUUGCAUACAAAUACAACAUUAUGCAGGCUAAUUAGAUAAAAGGGAAUGGCUAGGGCCGACAGACGGAUGACGAGGAGCAUAGCUCACCUACCUCAUCUUCCAAAAAAUAGUAAUUUUCCAUUUAUUAAUUGUUCUACAAGCCUCCUCUCUCGUGCAAUAAGUACGUAUGAUUAAUGAGUGCUUCCGUCCCUAAUUGUUAUAGCUAAAUACGUUUGUCUGGCUUGACCCGUUUACUAGUGCGUUACAACCAAAAGACUGAUGGUGAUCGAGUGGGUUAAUCCAGUUGUUGUGAGCCUAUAGCAUUUGCUUUUGACUCGACAAAGCAAUUUAAAAAAACGCCAUUUUGGAUACCGGUACGUCACGUACUAAAUCCAAUUGCUUGGUGCGGUCUCCCUAUUAGCCUUCGGUUCUUGACUCAAUAAGUAAUUUCCAGCUAGUUUCAAUAGGUUUUAAUUCCACCAUUUACUUACCAUAAUGAUCGAGAAUAGGGAUGGCAAUGGGGUGAGGUGGAUGUGGAGAGGCUUAUCUUAUUCCUCAUUCUAUUAAAAAUGUCACCUCUAUUUUUCACCUCAUUCUCCAUUAAAUUUAGAGGAACGGGGACAAAAAAUCUUUAUAUGGGGAAUAAUUUCCUCAUUCCUAUCUCAUUACCCGUUUAUUUAUUUCAUAAUAAGUAUGGAUACGUGGUUUUAGUACAUUAAAAAUUAGAGACUUAAAUAAAAUUAUUAUCAUAUUAUAAAGUAUUUAAAUUAUUUUAAAAAAUUUCCAAAAUUUUGAAACAAUAUCAAAACUGAUAUCAAAACUGAAAAAUGUUUGGAGAGAGCAUCACUUAAUAAUGUUUUAGAGUUGAAUAAUAAUUAUAUUGUAAGGUUUUCUUUUAAUUAUAACCUGUUUAUAUUAGGUAAAAAUUAACAAGAAAAUUUGUUAACCGACAUUGUAUUUGAUAAAACAAAAAAUAUUAAAUAAAAAUUAAAAAAUAUUUAUAUUUAAAUGGAGAGUGAGGUGGUGGUGGGGUGGAGAAUACAAAACCAAAUCCCAUCCCAUUAAGAGUUUGAGGAUUAUUUAUCCCUCGUUUCCUACUCUAUUCCCUAAAAAUUAUUUAAACCCCAUGAGAACCAAACCCGUGUAAGAUUUUGCCAUCUCUAAUCGCGAAAUCUUGAGUUUUUCCUUGCACCCAAGUCACAAGGUGUGCGCUAUAAGAUCUUUUGGCAUAAUUCAACUGGUUGUAGAUAUUUUCACCCAAAUUCGAAUAGCAAUAAAGAAUAAUGAUUGUUAUUUAGUGGUUUAAGUUUUUCAUCUCCAUUCAAUUUUUAAAAUAAAUAAAUAAAUAGUUUAUGCUAUUAGAACGUCUAAACGAAGCAAACCCAGACCAGUAAUUAACAAUUACAAAACAAUUACUUGGUUGAUAAUAAUGGCAUGGGAGGUGAUUUUAUGAUUUUACUGCUAUUUCCUCUACUAACAGUAAUCAGUAAAAUUGAUGUAUUAUCAAACAAUAUAAAUCGUCGAUAAUAUUUCUUGGUGAUUGCAACAUGUUAAAAAAUAUUUUUCAAACUGCUGUACGGCCAAGGCGGAUGUACGGUACAGCAGUUAUGAUAAUGAGUCCAAUUCAAUUCAAAUAAGGGUCUUGAGGGGUCGAUAAUGGGGUCUACAUUUACGCAUCAUCAAUCUAAUCUAACUCUCUAGUCCCAAGACGAAGAAAAGAGGUGGCAAUUUCCCCUUAGCUGCAGCCCUCAAGGCUUCUACUAUAAAUAUGGCCAUUAACAUUUGUUAGCAACCCAUCUCAGAAGCAUCCUCCUUCGUACUGCUAGCAAAGAUUUUGAUAUUUUGCAAAUGGGGUUAUGUCAAUACUACCUUCUUUCCGUCGUGCUGCUUUUGCCUGCAUUGUGUUACUCUCAGUUCACAUUCACAAGUUCUAGAGCUUCAUUCUAUGGUAGCCCUGACGGCUUGGGGACACCAGGUAUGUAAAAAUCUCACCUUUAUAAAGCUAUGUACAUUAAACUCGUGCACAAGUUGACGCGAACGAAUCGUUCAUUUCAUUAUGCUUUAGAGAAUUUUUGUUUUGGUAUUUGUUUAUCUUUUAGAUUAACUAAUGUUCAUGUCGAUGAUUCAUCAGCUGGUGCUUGCGGGUUUGGUGCAUAUGGAAAAACUGUAAAUGAUGCUAACGUGGCCGGUGUGUCGAACCUUUGGAAUAAUGGAACUGCUUGUGGAACUUGCUAUCAGGUACUGAUUAUUAACUUUCAACCCACUCAAUCAUUGCAGUUUAUUGUAAAGCUAUAUAAUAAAUGUGUAAAAUGAACGAAUUGCUAAGACGGGUAAGCCUAUGCAUGCGUGAAAGGAACUUGAAAACUUUAUUUAUUUAAAUUGUAUUGUUUAUAUAUAUAUGUAAGUAGUUGCAUGCAUAUUCUUCGUAAGACUGCUUAAAUCAUUUCAAAUUCAACAUCGUCAACAAUUUUAUUACCACUAGUAAUUCUUUAGGUUUUGUACCAUCAAUUAAUAAUGAUUAGUUAAUUAAUUAACUUCAGGUCAGAUGCAAUGUACCAGAAGUUUGCACAGAUUAUGGGGUGUACGUGGUGGUGACCGACUAUGGUGAAGGAGACGACACAGACUUCGUCCUCAGCCCACGCGCGUAUGGAAGAAUGGCACUUACAGAUAAGUCAGAAGAGCUUUAUACUUUUGGUGUCGUCGACGUUGAAUUCCUGAGAGUCCCUUGCCGGUUCAGAGGCUACAACGUCAUGUUCAAGGUCCAUGAAAACAGCAAGUACCCACAGUACUUGGCCGUAGCCACGCUGUACGUAGGUGGCCAAAAUGACGUCCUAGCAGUUGAAAUGUGGCAGGUAAUUACUUACAAAUUAACUUCUAAACAAUUGAUUUUUGGCCCGUCCAUCGCAUGUAAUGCUUUUGUUGGUGCAGGAGGAUUGUAAAGAAUGGAUGCCGAUGAAAAGGGCUUUCGGUGCAGUAUUUGACAUCUUUUAUCCACCACCAGGACCAAUGAAUUUGAGGUUUCAAGUGAGUGGCAGCGCGGGGCUCACAUGGGUUGUGGCAAACAAUGCUAUUCCCAAAGUAUGGAAGGUUGGAGUUGCUUAUGAGUCAGCAAUUCAGCUUGCAUAAAUUUGAGAUAUCCCAAGCUUUAUUAUUACUGGUUCCGGGUUAUCAGCUUCUUAAUGUCAUUUAGAUAUUCUAGUAUGUUGUUGCCCGGCAUCAGUAAGUGCUGUUACUUUAUCUUCUUUUUUUUAGUUUGUUGCUCAGGGUGUAUUGUGGACUCCUGUCUCCUCAACACUUAACUAGUUGCUAAAUAAAUAGUGGGAUUGUGUACUUUAAGAUCUUUUGAUCUAAGGAGAAAAUUAAUAAAAUUCCGCUCUGGUUAAGAUAAAACCGCUCAUCCGCCUCGUUAGUGGCGUCUCUGUGUGUGUGUGUGUCCUGUUGAAUUUCUUGUGAUUGUUUAAAUAACUCCAUUAUAUUUCCUCUACUAACAGUAAUCAGUAAAAUUGAUGUAUUAUCAAACAAUAUAAAUCGUCGAUAAUAUUUCUUGGUGAUUGCAACAUGUUAAAAAAUAUUUUUCAAAUGUAAAAAUUGUAAAAUAAAUUGUCGAGCCAUUCCAUUUUAGAAUUGGAGAUUAGCCAAAUCUUUUGUCAAUUGUUUAUAAAAGUAUUGUUUAUAAAAGUAUGAUAAAUAUCUACCAACUACUCUUUGUUUUGCACUUUAUAAAAAAUAUACUAAAACUUUUUUUUUUUUGUGGCUAUCCACGUAAAGUUUACAAAAUUAUCACUUUUUUACUUUUUCAUUAACAUAAUUAAAGAUUUAAUAGAAUAUUAAUAAAACGACCACUACAUCGUUAAAAUAUUAUUUAAUCCUAACUCAUAGCUAAAUGAUGAAAAAAAUUCCAAUUUGUAGCUGUUGGAACCAAUAGCAGCUAUAAAUUUAGUUAGAUAAAUUCAUCAAACCUACUAAUUUAACAAUAUAAAAUCACCAAAAUGACCACCAUGACUAAUUUGUAAUUCACUCACAACAAUAUUUUUUUUCGGUGUAUUAAAUCAUCUGGUAUUUGAAGACCACAUUAGGCCCCGACUGAUCCAGCUUCGAGCCGGGUAGGACCACUAGGGCGGCAAAGCUCUCCCAACAAGUAUUUAACGCAGUUGCAUUCCCAAGUCUCGAACCGAGGACCUUGAUUAAGCUAGAACAACCCCAUGCCAGUUGAUCUACGCACUUGUUGGUAAUAAAGCGUAGAAUAUGUUCACCCAUAAAACUACAUAUAAUAAAUGCUUCAACUAACGUACUACAUUAAUUUCAUCUUCAGCUCUUCCGGUAAGCACUGGCUAACGAAUGAUAUUAGGUACACCAUAAAAGGAAUCCAUUUCUCCUAUUUCGGAAGUGUUGUAGUCUUACUGGCAACGACCAGGACAGAACACCCCUUGGAAGCAUCAGAAUACGUUGUGUGUUUUUAAUUUAAUUGCAUUGUGUGUUUUUCAUGUUGGAUUUUGGAAUUGAAUUGUGUGUGGGGUUGAAAUAGUUGUGGAAUUGGUUGAAAUUGUUGUGGAAAGUGGAAUUGAAUUGUGUUUGAAAUGGUUGAGUAAUUUCCGAAUUGGUUGAAAUGGUGGUGGGAAAUGGGAAUUGAAUUGUGGGGUUAACUAUUUCGGUAUGGUCGGGUUGGGCCCGACCUGAUGUUGGCCCGAUUCGGGUCGAGCCUAACUAAAUAGUGUUCGGACUUUUUUAGGGUCGGGUUUCAAAUUUCUUUUGAUCGGGUCGGGUAGGGCUUGGCCGAGCCCGAGCCCGACCCGACAGGAGAAAGUAAAGCGUCCAUAUAUCCCACGCGCAUGUCAUUCAAUUAACUAAUUAUAUCAUCACAUCCCAUCAUCAUUAUCCUAUUAAAUGGAAUGUUCCAAGAAAGUAUUUGUAAGAGUUUUUUUUUUAAGUUUAAUCGUUCGAAAUGAUUAAAAGGUAGAUAAAUAUUGGCGAAUGUUGAGGUAUAUACUUAAAAGUAUCGAAAGAUAUUGAUGAGCUACCAACAUUUGUAUUUUUAUAUUUCCAACGUAUUUUGGUCAACUUUGCAAGCAUCUAAUAGAAAAUCUAUGUAAAAUUUAAAUUAAAAAAUUGAAAAUUACUUAUACAAUUUUGAUCUUACAAAUUUAUAAAAGUUAAAUAAAUAGGUUAGCAACUAUGGGUAUUAAGACAACUUUUGAUAUUACAGCAUGCUUGAAGAAAAUCUUUGAUGUUCUCCUAGCAUUGCACCUUAUCCAUUCAUUACUUACUAUAUAAUUAAUAAAAAUUGAAGUUUUUACAAAAAUUAGAGUUUCCCACAAUUAAUUGAAAGGAUUGUGUAGUAAACAAAGGAUUGUGUAGUAAAGAAAUCAAUGUGGCUUGGGACGAAUUAUUAUUCGAGCAUACAAUUAUGGAAGUCAGUUCCAAUCUUUUAGUGGAGUAGAUUUGGAAUUAAAUAAUUGGGCUAGUUUAAUUACAGGCCUAAUUAUUGUAGCCACUAUUGUAUGUUCCCAAAUGAUCCCCGGGUUAGCUCAUUUAAUUGACUGCACCACUACUGGACUAAUAAGUAAGAUAACUAGCUAUUUGGGUCAAAAGCCUAAAUAUAUCAUUUAGUGGGAGGCUCCAUUUAAUUAGCUUUUGUAUAAGGGGUCUUAUGUUAUUUUACAAGGUGGGUCCCCUAUUGAAAAAGAAAAUAACGUGAGUUUUAUUUAGAGCAUUAUUUGGAGCCUAGGGUUUUCACUAAAUGGAGAUAUAUAAGGCUUAUUUUUCCCAAAAGAAAAAAUGAGAAGCCACUUUAUACAAAUCGGAGAAUAAGAUUUUUCUCUCUAUUGUUGAGAGAAAAAUUUUCUCGUGCUAGUUGCUUUGGUAGUGAUAAAGGCGCCCACACGUCAAGUGCAGAUCGAACCUGAGUCAUAACCUGGAAGAUCAUUGGUGACAGUUCAUGAUCUAACAAGCGUGGUGGUGACGGUUCGUGAUCUAACAAGCGUGGUGGUGACGGAUCGUGAUCUAACAAGAGUGGUGGUGGCGGAUCGUGAUCUAGGAGCCUAAAUCACUUCAGCGGAAAAAGCAAACUCAGAUUUACAAGGUACGAUUUCUAGAAUACGAAUUCUUAUAUAUUAUAUGAGAGCGAUCUUCAAAAGAUUUUAUAAAAAGAGAUUUUUUUAAUAGAGAAUUAGUCUUUGACAAAAAACAUGAGAUUUUUUUAAUAGAGAAUUAGUCUUUGACAAAAAACAUGAGAUUUUUUUAAUAGAGAAUUAGUCUUUGACAAAAAACAUGAGAUUUUUUUAAUAGAGAAUUAGUCUUUGACAAAAAACAUGAGAUUUUUUUAAUAGAGAAUUAGUCUUUGACAAAAAACAUGAGAUUUUUUUAAUAGAGAAUUAGUCUUUGACAAAAAACAUGAGAUUUUUUUAAUAGAGAAUUAGUCUUUGACAAAAAACAUGAGAUUUUUUUAAUAGAGAAUUAGUCUUUGACAAAAAACAUGAGAUUUUUUUAAUAGAGAAUUAGUCUUUGACAAAAAACAAUACCUUAAGUGAAAGGAAUUUAGAUCUAUUGCAAAUAGAUGUAGGCAAUCAGAAACCUAAAAUUAGAACCUUAAUUAAUUUUUGAAAAUACCGUUCACGGUUAUUGUUCAUGCGCAUAAAAAUAUUACUGCUGUACGGCCAAGGCGGAUGUACGGUACAGCAGACGAUGUGGUACAAAGGAUUGUGCAGUAAAGAAAUUAAUGUGGCUUGGGACGAAUUGUUAUUCGAGCAUACAAUUAUGGAAGUCAGUUCCAAUCUUUUAGUGGAGUAGAUUUGGAAUUAAAUAAUUGGGCUAGUUUAAUUACAGGCCUAAUUAUUGUAGCCACUAUUGUAUGUUCCCAAAUGAUCCCCGGGUUAGCUCAUUUAAUUGACUGCACCACUACUGGACUAAUAAGUAAGAUAACUAGCUAUUUGGGUCAAAAGCCUAAAUAUAUCAUUUAGUGGGAGGCUCCAUUUAAUUAGCUUUUGUAUAAGGGGUCUUAUGUUAUUUUACAAGGUGGGUCCCCUAUUGAAAAAGAAAAUAACGUGAGUUUUAUUUAGAGCAUUAUUUGGAGCCUAGGGUUUUCACUAAAUGGAGAUAUAUAAGGCUUAUUUUUCCCAAAAGAAAAAAUGAGAAGCCACUUUAUACAAAUCGGAGAAUAAGAUUUUUCUCUCUAUUGUUGAGAGAGAAAUUUUAUCGUGCUAGUUGCUUUGGUAGUGAUAAAGGCGCCCACACGUCAAGUGCAGAUCGAACCUGAGUCAUAACCUGGAAGAUCAUUGGUGACAGUUCGUGAUCUAGCAAGCGUGGUGGUGACGGAUCGAGAUCUAACAGGAGGUGUGGUGGCGGAUCGUGAUCUAGGAGCCUAAAUCACUUCAACGGAAAAAGUCCAAUCGGAUUUUCAAGGUACGAUUUCUAGAAUACAAAUUCUUAUAUAUUAUAUGAGAGCGAUCUUUAAAAGGUUUUAUAAAAAUAUAAAAACCGGAUUUUUCCCCAACAUUAAGUUCUCCAGAAUCAGAGCAACUGUGGGUAAAGGACCGUCAACUUGCACAAGUUAUCGGCUGUUUUGUACAUUUUGACGCAGUUACUGGUUCGAGUCGUACAUGGGAGUAACAGUUUAAUUAUAUGCAUCCAUCAAAAAUCAGAUUAAUGGAACAAGUGAUAUGACUAACAGCAGGGCACUUAAAUUUAAAUGUAUUGUCCAACAAACAAAUACAACAUAAUGCAAUUUCACGGACGUACAUACACACAGGCAGACACAUACAUCCUCAUAUUUGUGAGCAUAGGUGUGCCAGAAAGAUGCUAGGACUUGGAACAAGUGAUAUAACUAACAGGGCACUUGAAUGUACCUUUCAGAUGAAAAUCAAAACUACUACUGUUAACCUCCCUCAGUACAACCGACCAGUGCAUUCUGAAGAACCACAAAAGCAACUCU